AAGGAGCUGAAAAAGAAGAAAAUAUUUCAGUUAGUUGAUUUGUUUCGUAUUGAAUGAGGUAUACGCGAAGUAUUCUGCAGCAAUCGACCACGUACCUAUAUGUACCACUAAUGAAACACUGAGAUCACUCGACACAUAAAUGUGAAAAUAACUAAAAGAGCAAUCGAUAAUCUAAUAAUGAACCGCUUCCAACCGCCAGAACUCCAAUGAACUACCAAAAACUACUGAAAUCUUUUCAGCAAUGCUCUGUUCUAGGUCCAACAAAACCAAUCCGAAAAAGAAAUACUAUGCCUUUCAUGAAGUUUAAAAUAAACCUUAUCGGCGUAUAUUAUUAAACUAACAACUUAGCAAAAUUCGAAAUCGUAGAAUAUUACAAAAAACGGGCUACAACAAACCGGUUUUCUGCUUACUAAAACUUAUGUAGUGGGAAAAACUAAGAAUGUUAUGUAUUUUUAUACGCGUAGUGUUUGUGAGUUACGUAAGAAAACUUUCCAAAACAAUCUGAUUCAAUGAUAAAACCAAAUGUUAAAUUACAUGUGAUAUAGCCCGAUCAUGUUCCCGUAUCGUCCCGAAAUCGGGCAAUUUGCGUUCCACAGUCAUGUCAGAACGUGUUUCGAGCUCUAAAUUCGCGAAAACGAAAUGUACCUAAUUCGUCCCAAAAGCAAAGAAAAAGAUAAUGUUGUAACCCUAGAGAGCCUCCCUCGUAGUAGCGUAGCCUUUAGUCUUUAAAUGAUCAUUGAUCGACUAUCCCUCGGUUCUCUGAUUGCUAAACGAACUAUUCGUUGGGGGGAGGAAAAUCUCAUACCAUUGCGUCCGUCUUAACGAGUUAGAAUCUCAAGUUAGUCAAAUUAAAGCCAAGCCUAUAAUUAUCCAAACACUGUAACGUCAUCUGACCGACAAGAAACUAUUCCAAUAAAAUGGAUAUUUAAAGAACGAAAGCAUUCAUCGUGUAUUCUACGGAACAUCAAUGUAAUCAACAAAGAUUCCAAUAAAGAAUGAAAAAUUAUAUGAAACUGA